AUAGCGUAUACUAAAGCUGCUGCGGUUAAAAAGCUCGUAGUUGGAUCUCAGUUCCAGACGAGUAGUGCAUCUACCCGAUGCGACGGCUCGGACUGAACAUCAUGCCGGUUCUUUCUUGGUGCACUUCAUUGUGUGCCUCGAGAUGGCCGGUGCUUUUACUUUGAAAAAAUUAGAGUGCUUAACGCAGGCGAGUCGCCUGAAUAAACUUGCAUGGAAUAAUAGAACAAGACCUCGUUUCCGUUCUGUUGGUUUUUGGA
rnacentral:rRNA from 1 species